rfam:Triticum aestivum genome assembly, contig: Triticum_aestivum_CS42_TGACv1_scaffold_515013_6BS
AUCCUACUCCCUCCGUCCGGAAAUACUUGUUGGAGGAAUGGAUGUAUUUAGACGUAUUUUAGUUCUAGAUACAUCCAUUUGUAUGCAUUUCUUCGACAAGAAUUUUGGGACGGAGGGAGUAUAUG